UUCUCCGCGCAACUGUCCGAGGGAGGUGGGAAAUGUGUGAGAGGGGCGGGGGGAAGACAAACAUUCUCAAAAAAUAUUAAAAAGAAAACAUCCCACUUGGCAGCGGGUGCGCGGGAAGUUCAGCGCGCGAGUUCCGGGUUUCCCGCCAGCCGCCAGCCCGCCCCCCGCCGGCCGCAGCCCGGGUGAGCCCCCAGCCCCUGCUCGGGCCGCAGCCUUGCUGGGCCGCGUCCGUCGGUCUGUCCGCUUCCCCUCCCCCCCCCACCCGCCCAUCCCCGGGCGCCGCGCCGGGUCUGCGGUUCCGAGAGCGGCCGGGGUUUUUGCCAGGGCGCCCGCAGCCCGCUUUGGCCCCGGCCGCGCCUCGGCGGCGGCGCUUGCAGGACUCGCCCCCCCCCCCCCCCCGCCCCGGGCGGUUCGGGGGGUUCGGGUCUCGCCGCGGCCCCGCGCCCUCCGCCCACGCUCCGCGGCCCCGGGCAGCCGCCUCGAGUGCCACUUGUGGAGUUCUUCCCCCGGAGGCUGUAACUUUACAGCAGCCUGAGCGAGGCCUAUUUUUUAUUCAGAAACCAGCAACCCGAGUGUCUGUAGAAAACGCUCAGAUUGGGGGCCAGCCCACCCCCUUGAAGAUCUCUCACACAUUGGUGGGCAAGAAGCGUCUGGUUCUAUCAGCCUUUCUUGGAGAGCUCAGAAUUCUGUUGCCAUCUUCCAAAUAGAGCUGAAUUGGUUGCGGGGCCGGGCCGGGGUGGGGGGGGGGGUGCUUUUUGAUGAGGCUGUUGCUCUCAACCUGGUGGAACUGUACCUGAACACCUCACAGCCUCUAAGCGGUGAUCCUGGGGCCACCACGCACGAGCCAGGCCCAAACCCUGUCCUGGUGACCCCUCCUGCAGGAAUCGCACUGAGAGCUCCUGGGACAGGCUUGCGGUGGGGAGGAGCAAGGAGAUGAAUGUGGCAGCCAAGUACCGCCAGGCGUCGCUGUACGUGGGUGACCUCCACGCAGAUGUCACCGAGGACUUGCUGUUCAAAAAGUUCAGCACCGUGGGGCCUGUGCUGUCCAUCCGCAUCUGCAGGGACCUGGUCACCCGCCGCUCUCUGGGCUAUGCCUACGUGAACUUCCUGAAGCUGGCCGAUGCCCAGAGGGCUCUGGACACGAUGAACUUUGACACGAUAAAGGGCAAACCCAUCCGCCUCAUGUGGUCUCAGCGCGAUGCCUACUUAAGGAAGUCGGGCAUCGGGAACGUGUUCAUCAAGAAUCUGGACAGAUCCAUUGAUAACAAAACCCUCUAUGAACAUUUUUCAGCCUUUGGGAAGAUCCUUUCCUCCAAGGUGAUGAGUGAUGACCAAGGAUCUAGGGGCUAUGCAUUUGUGCACUUUCAGAACCAGAUCGCAGCCGACAGGGCCAUCGAGGAGAUGAAUGGGGCUCUGCUUAAGGACUGCAGGCUGUUUGUCGGCAGAUUCAAAAACCGUAAAGAUCGGGAAGCCGAGCUCCGCAACAAGGCCAAUGAAUUCACCAAUGUUUACAUCAAAAACUUUGGAGAUGACAUGGAUGAUGAGAGACUGAAGGAAGUUUUCAGUAAAUAUGGUAAAACCCUGAGUGUGAAGGUGAUGACAGAUUCCAGUGGGAAAUCCAAAGGCUUUGGCUUUGUGAGUUUUGAUAGCCAUGAGGCUGCCAAAAAGGCCGUUGAAGAAAUGAAUGGAAAGGAUAUAAACGGACAGCUGCUUUUUGUAGGCCGGGCGCAAAAGAAAUCCGAGCGACAGGCCGAGUUAAAGCAAGUGUUUGAGCAGCUGAAACAGGAAAGAUUUCGGAGGUGCCAAGGCAUGAAGCUCUAUAUUAAGAAUCUCGAUGACACCAUUGAUGAUGAGAAACUGUGGAGGGAAUUUUCUUCAUUUGGAUCAAUUAGCAGAGUCAAGAUAAUGCGGGAAGAAGGGCGAAGCAAAGGGUUUGGCUUGAUCUGCUUCUCCUCUCCUGAGGAGGCCACUAAAGCAAUGGCUGAGAUGAAUGGCCGUAUCUUGGGCUCCAAGCCACUCUACAUUGCCCUGGCCCAGAAGCCCUAGGAGAGAAACACUUACCACGGCAGCCCGUGUUUGCAGCAGCCUUGGGAAUGACCGUGAUCUCUGCCUGAAUUAGCCUCAGAAACAUUUCAAAUCCCAGCUGAUGGUCCCUUGAUUUAGUAAACUUUGUGAUAAAAGACAGCUUGGAGAUCAACAUCCUUGCAAAUUUAUGUAUGCUGAUAUAUCCAAUUAUUUUCUUACAAAAAUAUGUAGUUCAUUGGAAUUAAUGUUUAAAAGGUGAGCAAUUUUUAAAAUAACUUUGAUGAAUAUUGCCCAAAUGUUCUCCUGAAAAUUUGUGCCAUUUCCAUUAUCAGUGUGGAGGAUUGUCCAUUUCCAUAUUCCCCAAGAACAAGGGAUUAUGUUUAAGUUGUUAUCUAAUUCAACAUGAUGCAUAAAGCAGAAUAUUUCAUGGUUACUUUUUUUUUACUAUAUAAAAGUUAAACAGCAUUUCUUCUAUCUGUUGGCCAUAUGCAUUUUCAUAUUUGUGAACUAAUGUUUCAUUAUUUUAGUUUGUUUUUCUUUUGGGUUGUUUUUCAUUUGUGUGGAUUUAUGACAUUUCUUUACAUAUUAAGGACAAAAUGUUAGACUGUUUUCCCCCGAUAUUUCCACUUUGUUUGUAGUUUUGAGGGUCAUUCCAAAGUUAAAUUUUUAACUUAGAUUUUUUAGUCUUUUACUUAGAUGGCUUUGAUGUCAUGAUUCAAAACACUUUGAACCAUUCAAAUAUACAUGCAGACACACACACACAAUUAAUUAAUUGGUAUUAUCUUCUGUUACUUUCAGAGUUUUAUAUUCUCAACAAUUUCUAAGCACAACUUUUGUCUGUGGAGUAUUUUAUCGACAGCCUAUAGUAAAUCCUUUAAAAUUGUCUUCCUUUUCAACCUUUAUUAAUAUGUUUGGUAAAUACCUACCUUCUGUAAGAAUCUCUGUGACACUCAUACCUACUGUAAUUCACUGGGCCUGUGAAUCACCGUGUGAAGUAUUUACUUCAAAAGCACAGCGUUACUGAGAAGGAGACUAGGCAACAGGGCUGGGAAGUGUAGUGGGCAUGUCAAGCCUUGACAUCUCUUUCUGGAUAAUCCAGUCUAUCGAAGUGUUCAAAUAUUUGAACAAUAUUUCAUCAUGCUUGUAAAUGGAUUGUUGAGAUAAUAUCAGGGAACUGAGUUCUCUGCUAUGUGCACAAGGAAUUAAUAGGACAUAAGAUCAGAUGUCUGGAUGAAUUGUAGCUGUAGCUUCGUGACACAAUAUUCUACCAUUUUAGGAGAAUUUGCUUAUUCUUAAUAUUUACUGUGAGAAAUGACUAAGCUCACAAAAAUACAUAAUCCCGUGGAUUUUCCUGAUUAAUUUAUUUAAAUGUUUGCUUUCUCAAUUGUGUGCGUGUGUGUGUGUGUGACAGUAUCAGGUAAUCCUAGUUGGCAGUGUAAGUUCAUUCUUUGAAGAAAAUUUAAUUAUUAUGCCCAAGUGUCUUGAGAAAUAAGAAUCUUUACUUUUCUGAUAAGCAUUCCAGUAAGAGCUAAUUUCUAUAGGUGCCUUGAGCAACUCUAUUCUUGCCUCCCUCUCCACACACACAUUGCCAACUUUGUUGUAUGGAUGCCUGCUUGCAUGCACAGCCAAUUCAAUAAAUGUGCCUUCUAACAUUUAUUUAAACUUUUAAAAUUAUUUUGGGGCACCUGGGUGGCUCAGUUGGUUAAGCGUCCAACUUCAGGGCAGGUCAUGGUCUUCACGGUUCAUGGGUUC